rnacentral:rRNA from 1 species
UACGAAGGGUGCAAGCGUUACUCGGAAUCACUGGGCGUAAAGCGUGCGUAGGCGGUUUCUUAAGUCUGUCGUGAAAGCCCUGGGCUCAACCUGGGAACGGCGAUGGAUACUGGGAAGCUAGAAUGUGAGAGAGGAUGGUGGAAUUCCCGGUGUAGCGGUGAAAUGCGUAGAGAUCGGGAGGAACACCAGUGGCGAAGGCGGCGUUCUGGACUGCAACUGACACUGAGGAACGAAAGCCAGGGGAGCAAACGGG